rnacentral:lncRNA from 1 species
GAGAGACAAGAUUGCGAGAGAGGGAGACCGACGACUAGUGGAAGUAGACGACGACGAGCGGAGGCGGAAAGGAUUGGUGGCUACUGGGUACUGGCUGCUGCUUUAAGUGUUAGGGUUUUAGACUUUCAGUUCUCUGUUCUCAGUCUCACUUUCUUUCUUUCUCUAGAAUGAGGAAUAGGUAAUUAGGAAUUAGAAUAUUAGAUAAUUAGUUUUGUGGUCGAGUGGAGACAGUACACUGUACAGAACAUACGGGGGUGGGGGUGUUUGUUUAAUUAUUUUUGUAAUUUGGUAUUUUUAUUAUACACUGAUACUUAUUUAUUUUUAAGGUUUUUAUUUUUUUAUAUUUAAUAUAUAUAAUUAUAUAAAUAAAAAUAAAUUUUAUAUAUAUAUAUUCUUANNNNNNNNNNNNNNNNNNNNNNNNNNNNNNNNNNNNNNNNNNNNNNNNNNNNNNNNNNNNNNNNNNNNNNNNNNNNNNNNNNNNNNNNNNNNNNNNNNNNNNNNNNNNNNNNNNNNNNNNNNNNNNNNNNNNNNNNNNNNNNNNNNNNNNNNNNNNNNNNNNNNNNNNNNNNNNNNCGUUAAUAAAAAAAAAAAUUAAUCUGUUCCCCGUCUGUUAAGCCGUUAAGCCAUUACCACUAAGCCAUUAAGCUUCGGUUUUGGAUCGAUUUUCGGUUUCGGAUCGGUUUUCAACACCCCUACUAUGAUCUAAUGACUAGAUGUUGGUAAGUUGAGACUUAUUUGGGAUAUUUAUGUAAGUUUUCCUAUAAAAAUGUGCCCAAGCCCAGGCAACAUUCAAGUCCUUGUCUUAGUGGUUGAACCUCACUAGUUGUCUAGAGCCCCGGUUGAAGCCCAUUACUAGAAUUUGAUGCAUUGAAAGAAGAGGAAUUUUCAAAAAUGACUAUUGUUUAUUGGUUAUUAACUCGCUAUAGCUACCAUUUACUUAGUUACUUAUUAUAGCUAUAUUUUCACUAGUUAUAGAGUGUAUUCUAUAUAUUCAAGAAUACAGUAGCAAAACUCGGCGAAAAACAAGAAAGUAUAGCUAAACAUUGAUUGUAUUCAUAUGUAUUCGAGAGUUGUAUUCGGUAAUACAGUAACGGAAAUCUGCGGAUAGAAAUGUCUUCAGUUGCAUAAAAAUGGUAAGUGAAUCAAUUAACGCGAUAGACUCCUAGUAUAACUCAACAAACUCAAUUAUAACACGCAAAAUUUGUAUUUUCACUUAUAGAAAAGAUUCCCAGCCGAAAAAUAUCACAAAAACAGAUCUUCAGAGAAUCAAUCUAUCCUUUCUUUUUUUAGUGGUAUCUUUACUAAAGUAUUUUUAUUAGUGGUAUCUUUACUAAUAUAUUUUUUUUACUAAACAUCGUGCCAAAGGUAUUUCAAUUGACGAUGACGCCCAAGGAAUUAGCGGAUGUUAAGGCCAAAUUCGACCUUCUAAAUCUUGUCAAAUUGAUCCCGGCAUGUGGGGACAUGUUAUAGGUUCAUCGCCUCAAAUACUACACUUUAUACGAUUAUCCUAUUCUCAUUGGUUAUUCAUUCCCCCUCCUUAUGUUCUUGGAGGAAUUAUGUCUCCAUUUUGGCGUCGGCCCUACUCAACUUGCGCCAUAUGUCUACGAAUUUAUAAGGAUUCACAAAUUUGCUGAGAUGGUCGGGGUUGAGAAGACAUUGCAUUAUUUGGUUCAUCUCUUCGCCCCUAGCUUUUAUAGGGGACAAUGUGGAAUCUUACCAACCAUGGAGGGAAAUGUUUGGUGGUGAAGACGGAGAUAAGGCCAAUCGUCAAUUUUGGCUCAAUCGUUUCUAUGUUAGGACUGAGGAUGUGGUGGCUAAUGCUGAUGGCUUUCUAGAGUCUUGGAAUUACACACGUAAGUGCUCAUUUCCUUUCACUCUUAUCUAUUUUUUUUAUCCGCGUUCUUUUACUUACUUGGAUUUAGUUGAAAGAUUUUUUCUUUCGUUGUAGCCAACACUCACCCUCCCCUUCUAGUCACACACAUCUCUGACUAUGUCAAACAAAUUGUCCCCCACAUCGUCGGGAUCUUUGAUGGUCUGAGCUUCAACAAGAAGUUCAUAUCGGCCCUCCCUUCGAUGUGCAACAUUCUUGAUUGGUCUGCGGUCGUCUCAUUUUUUUAUUAUACACCGACUCAUUUUUCUAAAUUCGAUGCUUAUUUCUUUCUCAGGUAAGGGGUCUUCUAGAUAGAGCCGGGCACCAGUGCCAUUCUUUCGGAUAAAAGAUGAUGCCCCUUCGAUUUCUGUCCCUGUGGUAAUUACUGCCGCUUAUGCGCUGACCCUUUAUUCGACCACCUUAGUCCACGAACAUGCCUCGUAAGAGGAGAGAUAUGGAUUCGGGAGGAGAAAAGCUAGUAGCCGUCGACUUCGAAGAAUGUGACUUUGUUUUUCGGAAGACGACCACGAUGUAUGUUGGAGAGAACCACGAGGUGGGUUCUGAGGUCCUGCACUUCAAUAAGAUGAAUACGAAUGCAUCACUGCAUGCAGUGGGUAGACGAUCCAAAUCAGGAUGCACAAUGAUGACCUUGCACUUUCGAGGCAAGAGGAGGCCUUCACUUGUAGUGUCACAAUAGAUGUUCGCUCUGUGGCUUGUGAUGGAGAGGAGGCCGUUACUGAGGAAGAUGUUGGAUCUAACUCCGACAUGGACAUGGACGAGUUGUGGAUGACCGAUGAGGGACUCACUAGACUCUAACUUAGAUUGGAAGGAGGCUUUAGGACUAUUGUGAUCCCGAUAGAUCGUAAUCUUCUUCUAGAUACUAAGGGCACAAUCAUUUCCCUCAGCCCUUUUUGUUAUAUGAUUAAGGGUACGACCCUUGAGGGGAUAAGCGACAGUACUAUGCCAAAUAACAUUGCUGGUCUUGCUCUUUGGGUAAUUUCUACUAUUCUUCUAUUCUAUAAUGACCCGGCCAGUCGUUUUAAAAAUUUACGCCCUGAUCCCCUAUUAACUGCUUUCCCCAUGUUUGUUUCUACUAGUUUGAUUUGCCGAGAUGUUUAGUUUUGAGUUUCGAAGUGUUUUGGAGCACUUAGUCCCAAAAUAUGAGUAUAAGCAUUAGAAUUUGGACCGUAGUCGGAGCAGUGUAAAGAAGGCUUUGGAAUGGAAUUAUGUCAGUUCUGUUAGCUCCAUUGGGUGAUUACGGGCUUAGGGGCGUGUUCGGAUUGUAUUUUGGAGGUUCGUAGCUUAUUUAGGCUUUAAAUGCCAAAAGUUGAAAUUUUGAAGUUUCCGGUUCGAUAGUGAGAUUUUGAUAUAGUGGUCGGAAUAGGAUUCUGAAAGUUGGACUAGCUCCAUAGUGUUGAAUGUGACGUGGUGGCAAAAAUUCAGGUCAUUCGGAUGAGGUUUGACAGACGUUUUGAUAGAAAGCGUAAAUUGAGAGUUCUUGGAGUUCUUAGGCUUCAAUCCGAUGUUAAAUUGGUGUUUGAUAUUUUUUUUAGUGUUCCAAAGAUUGGAACAAGUUAGAAUGAUAUUUUAAUAUUGGUUGGCAUUUUUGGGUGAGGUCCCCGGGCCUCAGGUGUGUUUCAUAUGCUCAACGGGUCAUUUUUGGACUUAGGAGUGCAGCAGAUUUGUUGGUUUUUUUAGUUGUAGGCCUUUGGCCAUUCACGAAGGGUUAGUCGCAUUCGUGAAGGCUAGAAAGGGGAAGUAUCGUGAAUGUGAAGAGCGGAGCACAUUCGCGAAGAGUAAUUUCUCUACGCAUUUGCGAGUAUUGGGUCACUUUCGCGAAGAUCCUGGAUCUAAAGCUACGCGUUUGGGAAAGUGGAAGUUGGCCAGUUAAAUUUUUUGCAUCACGUUCGCGAAGAAGAACGUGUUUGGGUAGAACUUAAAAAUCAAAAUUGAGGGUUUUGAGUUCUUAUCACAAAAUUGAAUUGGGAGCUCGGUAUGAGAAGAAUAUUGCUCAGUAGGAGAAGAUUUUUGGAGAGAUUUUCGGAGCGGGGUAAUGAUUCUUAUCUCCUUUUUUCUUAUAAUCCAUUAAUCUAAACAUUAAUUCAUCAUCUAAUUUCGGAUUUGGGAUGAGAAAUUGGGAAAAUUUUGGAAGCUAUAUUUCGAGUUUGAUUGGGAAUUUGACAUUGGAUUUGGAUAAUUGUGGUAUGGUUAGACUCGUGAGAGUAUGAGGUUUCUAAAAAUGUAACUUUUACCCGAUUAUGAGAUGUGGGAUUGGAGGGCAUUUUGGUCAUUUUACCUAAUUUAGCGUAUACGCAUAGAGUUUAUUUGUAAAAUCAGUUACUUGAAGUUUUAUAUACAUUAUGCCAACUGAGUUGAAUAGAUUUGGGCCAUUUGGAGUCGAGUACUCGUGGAAAGAACGUGGUUUCAGGUUGAUUUUGAGACGGUUUGAGGUAAGUAGCUUGCCUAACCUUGUGUGGGAGAACUCCCUUUAGGAUUUGGUAUUAUUGAUAUUUGAAAUGCCUUGUAGGUGAGGUGAAGAGUACGUACUUGUGCUAAUUAUUGAAAUUCGAUUUUUAUUAGGUAACUACCAUAUAUCGUGUUUCCUUUCUUCUUUAUACUACUUGUGAUUUGAGCAUGUUGUUAGUUUGGGGAAGCAUGUCUAAUUGACUUUAUUGCAUUAAUUGCUCAAACUGCCUUAUUUGUAUUAUGUGCAGUAUGCCAGGCUAGAAAUACCUGUUUUACCUUGGCAUAGAAUUUGAGUUGAAUUAUGUGUUCUUUGUGUCGUUGUUGUGUGUUUACUUUGGGACUACGAGAUAGUAUCCUGGGAGAUUCUCCUAUAUGUUUAAUUUGGAACUACGGAUUUUUAUACCAGGAGAUCCGCCUGCACUUUUACAUUGGAACUAUGGGACUGCAGCUGGUAGAUUCUCCCGGUACUAGGUAUUUGCAUUUGGGACUAUGAGCACGUAAUUUUUGCCCUAUACGAAUUAUUCCCAAAAAUUCAAAUAAAAUGAUCUAUUUCAUUAUUUUAAUAUUUUGUGAAUUUUUGUAUUAUUUGUCAAUUGUUUGCAUUUUAUUUGUGCAUUUUUAGUGAAAAAUACAAAAAUACUUGGCAUUUGCAUUUAGGAUUUUCAUUUCAUAUUUUAUGAUUAAUUAGUAGUUAAGGGAAAAAUAAAAAAAAAUAACAAAAAUGAUCUUUUUGCAUUUUAAGUUUUAAUUUUUCUUAAUUUGGAUUUAGUUAUGAAUUAAGGUAAUUGAAAAUUAAAUGAUAGAAUUUUAGAGUUAAUUUGGUUGUUGAAUUUUAAUUUGUCAUUUUAACAAAUCUAAAUAAAUAAAUAAAUAAAUAAAGUAAAUAAAAAUGAGAAAACAAAAGAAAAUAAAUUAGAAAAAAGAUGUCUUAAUAAGAAGACCAAAAUUGGGCCAUCUGUGCUCAUUUAUACCUAGCCAAACCAAUUAAAACCCACCCCCAUCCAACCCAGAUCCCCAACCCGGUCCGCCUCAGUAGUAAACAAAAUGAUGCCGUAUGGCGUCGAUCAAUCCAGGUCGUCGAGGUACUGGGAUAAAAUCGCCGAGAAUCUCCCUCCCAAUGAAUAUAACUGCCCGAGAAUCAACCCACCACCUUUCAGACCCCCCGAAUCGUCUCUAACUCAAACCCUAAAUAAUCAGCAACCUCUGUAAUGCCACCAACGCCGCCUCCGGCGAAUACACAACAAUCAACGUUGACUACCAAAAUAACACCCCUAUAUAGCAUAAUGUCCUCAUCACAAAUCCCAUAUUAUCUUCUUUCGAACUAUCAGAAGCCUUCAAAUAAUCAAAUUGGUGUUGUCGUCUCCACUGCCCACGGUGGCGACACCGCCCAAACAGCCCCAAAUUUACACCACCAUACCUCCUCACUCUUCGCUCCCCAAAUCCACCCUUAAUAUGCUUCGAAUCAGUACCAAACCUCUCAAAUACCGGAUCGAAAAUCUGGUCAAACUGUUGUAAUGCCCUAAGUCUUCAAAGGGCCCCAAAUUCACACAUCGAGCCCUCUCAAAACCUCCACAUGAUGAAUUUCAAGUAUGAAUCCCUCAAACCCAUGUAGAAUCCCACGAGCCUUAACCCUAGGGUCUGAAGAACCUUAUUUCAUGUAGUCGUUCAAGCUGGUUUAAUUAGUGAGUGUCUCUUCUCAUUUAUUUUUAUUUUUCUUUAGUUUUGGAUUUAUUAGAUGAUUCGUGCUUUCACUGAUAAACAAAAAUUGUUUAAAGUCUGCAGAAUAUUAAUUGAUAGUCUAGUUUAAUUUCAUUCUAAUUCUGCCUGUUAUUGUUAGCUAAAUGCCUAGGUAUAAUGUGAGGUAGUAAUUGCUUAGUUUAAUUCUUAGAUUAAUUUUCAUUUUUAUUUAAUUCUAAGUUGAUUUUCGUUCUAUUGGAGUAUAUGUUCAAUCGCUAGUUAGUUCAAUCAAUCAGUUGUUAGUUUAAUUGGGUUUGAUUCAGUUUGAUGUACCUGUUUUCCUUUUGAUAACAAUGUGGUCAUUUGGUGGAAAUUUGAUUAGGAUUCUUUGUUUUUGUAAUAAUUGAUUUUGCAUGUUAAGUUAGUAGUUUAGUAGUAAUUGAGUAAUUAGUAUUUGUUCUAUGAGUUCAAUAUUUGAUUAAAUAGUUAUUCGAAUUAUGUUAGCUAAUUUGAUUACAGCUAGGUAAAUUAAAUUUUCAAUUAGUCAUGGAUUGGGUUUAGUUAAUGUUAAUAAUUUCAGGGAAUCUUCAGGGGCACUUUGGGCACCUAAAAUGGUUAGUUUGUUAAGACAUGGAUUUUAGAACUCAAGUAAGGGUACUAUAGGCAUUCCGUAAGUAGGCAAACAAAUUUAGAACAUAUAUCUCCUACUCUAUACAAAACUCUGUCCAAAAACUAUGAUUACCUCUAUGAAGUAGAUAUCCUACCCGAUGAACAAAAAGUAUCCUCCACUGAACUACCCUUUAUAAACCCCUACUCAGCUUUUGCCAAAAAAUCCUUUGCACCCUAGACCCAAAUCCGUUCCUUGGUCCAACUCAGACCAAAAGGAUUCAAAGAAUAUGUUGCUCAGCAACUCUGAAGAUAGACUGAGAGCAGUUAAUUUGUUUAUAGACGUAUUCCUUCUAGAAGGGGUCUUAGUGAAAGUUUCAGCUUUUUAAAAGCCGUAACUUGAGAAACAAGUCAAUACUUUAGGUUUAAGGUGAAAUUUCUAAAAAUAAAAAGUGGGGAAAAUAAGGAAACACUUCCAGAACAUUCUGCCCCCUUCCUUACCUAUAAAAGGCAGCCCUAGUACCUUGAUUAAGGAGUUUGAACCCCAAAAAUUCCCCCAAAACCCUUGGCUGCAGAUCUGAAUCUCAGAUUUGAAUUUCCGAUUCUAAUUAAGUCUAGUAUCUCAAAAACAAAACAAAAAUAGAAAAAUCUUCAAAAAAAUCGAAAAAUCAAACUAUUCCAUUGGUUUGUGUUUUAGUUUCAAGUUUAGUUGUUAGUUUGGAUUCUCUCAUUUCCGUGUUUGGUAGCUGAAAGUCAGAAACUACUUUGAAUUGGCUUAUCAAUUCAUAUUGGUAUUUAAUUGGAUUAGUGGAUGUUUGUUUCUGAUUGUUGGUUGUAUUCUGGGUUUAGUUUUGAGUUAAAUUGGUUUAUUCAAGCUGUGUGGGAGAUUUAUGGUUAUCUAUUUGGUUUCAAGCUAUUCCUGGAUUGAUGGAAUUAGAUUGGGGGUUAUUGUUGAUUUGUGCCCAUUACUGCUGCUGUGGAUUGACAAAAUACCAGUUAACUGUUCGUUGCUGAUCUCCCCAUCUUUUGUUGUAACUUCAUCCUCAGGUACACAGCUUUGACCUUGAUGAUUGUAAACUGAAGAAUGAAUCUAUGUGACAAUCGAAGCAUGAAAUUUGAUUUAGUUUCAAUUUCAUACUUGUGUAUUCGAGCACUCGUUCGUUAAUGUUAUUCAGACCUUUGAUUUUUAUUAUAUGCAUUGGACUAUAAUUGAAUGAUUUGGACUGUUAUUUGAACUUUCAAAUUUGUAGUAAUAGAUCAAACUCUAUAAUUGUAUAGUCAUAGAGAUUUGAAGAGUUUGAAGUAUUUUACAAAUUGUAUUCAGUGUACUAUGAGCUAUAUUUGUAAACUCCCUAUCAGUGUAUUUAUUAACUUGAGAACUUUUUGAAGGCCAGUUAAAAUGAGCAUUAAUGUGUGAGUUGUAGUUAACUUAGUUAGUUUGUUAGUUUAGACAUUCAAAACUGAAGAUAACUUGAACUGGAAAUUGGCUUAGGAAUUUGAUGUGCACUUUUGUUGAUGACUGAGUAUUCAAAAUGUUAGGAGUAAAUAAUUUUGCAUGUCAUUUGAUAAAGUAAGUUCAUAAUAAAUUAUAGUUUUGAAGUAAUAGCUAGUCAGUGAUUAAUUCCUGAAUUUAAGAUGGCAUGAGUAGCUUGCAGUAGUGCAUGAUUUUUAAUUCUAACGCUGUCUAAGUUUGAUUUGGGAAUCGACGUUGUUUAAAUACUUCAGACUAAUCAACGUUGAUUAUAAUUGAACUUAAAUCAGAAAGGCAUGAUCUUCAUAGGCACAAAUUAUCACUGAUCUUGUAGACACAAUUAACAAAAAUUCAUUUGUGAGGAACCAAUAAGCUCACCUGAAAUGCGUGUACUUUUGUUGAUUGUGUAUUUGACUCCAAAGAUGCUAGCUCAGCCUGAAAUUAGAUUGGGCCUGCAUUUGAAUGUAUGUAACAUUGUGAAUAAGCUUGGACGUUGCCUAUUAAUGUGGUUAAGUUCAGACACUUUUUAAGUUGGAGCUUAAGGUUUUGAGUCCUUCAAUUAAUUAGGGUCUUUUCUUUAAUUUUUUGAGACAAAAAAAAUAGAAAAUCAUAGUCACUUUAGGAUUUCCCUUUAAAUAAAAUGAGAUGAGCCUCACCAGAUAAAAAGUGCAAAAUUGCGGGGUUCAAAAAUAUAUAUAAAAUAAUACUUAGAAUUAGGGAUGGGCCAUUUAGCAAAUUUUAUGGCCCUCCUCAAAGAUAAUAAAGCGUUAGUCACUUUAAGCGCAUUUUUAAUAAUUUACUUUCUUAAACUCAGGUGCGCAUUUAUGUGACCCUAAUCCAAAUCUCAAUGGAGUCGAAAUGUAUCAACAACCACGUGUGCAUUGAUAUGACGUGGUUCGAGAUGCGUUUUCACGACGUUGCAAGUCUCGUUAAAAAUAAUAAUGAUAAAAGUGUUUCAAAACUGAAAAGCACAUAAGCUAAAACAUAUUUUGAAAUCAGAUAAAUCCAAAUAUAACAGUUGAGUGACCGUGCUAGAACCACGGAACCUGGGAAUGCCUAACACCUUCUCCCAGGUUAACAGAAUUCCUUACUCGGAUUUCUGGUUUGCGGUCUGUUAACAGAGUCAUAUUUUCCUCGGUUCGGGAUUCAACCGGUGACUUGGGACACCAUUAAUCUCCAAGUGGCGACACUGAACUUUAAUAAUUAAAUUCUGUUCCGAUUGUCCUUUAAGUGGAAAAACUAUUUUACACCCUUGCGGGUGUAGUGAAAAAGGAGGUGUGACAGCUCUGGCGACUCUGCUGGGGAUCAAACCCAGAACUUCGGGAUUCCGGUAGAUCCACGCGCACUAUGAGUUGGACUAGGAGAUGGUAUCCCAGGAGGUACACUAGAUAAUUAUAUUUGGGACUACAUGAUGGUAUCCUGGGAGAUCCUCGGUUGUUAUCUCUGAGUUGAAUUAUACUCUUUUCUAUGAUUAUUUUGUCUCUAUUAUAGUUCUUGUUGUUCCUUCUAUUCUAUGUUAUUUAUUACUGUUGCACUCAUUCUAUAAAGUUAUACCUUAUAUUUCAUUUAUUCUCAGUAGGGCCCUGAAAAUCCUCGUCACUACCUGAUCAAGGUUAGGCACGACACUUAAUGAGUACCAUUGUGGUGUACUCAUGCCUUUUCUGCACAUGUUUUUCAUGUGCAUAUCCAGGUACUUCCACUCAGCCUUAUCAUACUUGAGCAAGGCUCUUUUGUAGAUACUUCGAGGUAUAUCAGCCAGUCCGCAGACCGAGGAGUCCAUUUCUAUCCUCGGUACUAGUAUAGCCAUUCUGUAUUAUCCUUGUUGAUAGACAUUUCUGGAGUUAGAGUUUUUUAUGUAAACUCUUAGCUUGUGAUUCAUGGAGUUCUGUAUUUUGGGAGUGUUAGGUUGAUAUUUUUUUACUGUUAUAUGCCAGGCGACAUCAUAAACAUUGUUUCAUUUUAUUAUCUUAGUUUUUAAUUAUUUACUUUCCGCAACUAUUUCUUUCCACAUUUGUUAGGCUUACCUAGUCGUAGAGACUAUCACGAUAGUUUACAGGGGGCGACUUGGGGUGGUCAGAAAUUGGUAUUAGGGCUCGAGGCUCAUAUGAGUCAUGUAUCUCAAGCCAAUUAUUUAGAGUCUCGCGGAUCGGUACGACAACGUUUGUACUUAUCUAUGAGAGGCUAUGCAACUUUUAGGAAAAAUUCCAUUUCGUUUGAUUUUAUUAUCAUGCUAGAUUUUUGAUAUCACAAUUCUAAUUUUCUGUCUUCUAUUCUCUCAUAGAUGGUGAGGACACAUGCAACCCAAGAUGAUCAGGAACCCGUGCCCACUACUGUAGCCGUCAGAGGUCGGGGCAGGGUAGAGGUCGAGGACGCGCACGUGGUGCAGCCAGAGCUCCUGCACGAGCUGCUGCCGAGGAGCCAACAGCAGUUUCCAGCCAGAUCCCAGGCACCUGAUAUGCCUACUUCUACUAGUACUCCAACACUUUAGGAGACUCUAUCAUUGUUCAUGAGUUUGUACACCAUUUUGGCUUAGGCAGGAUUACUUCCCCUUGAUGUAGCAAAAUCCCAGGUCGGGGGAGGAACACAGACUCUGCCUCCUACACUCCUGAGCAGUGAGUGCAUGUAGAUCACUCCUAGAGAUUAUUCUGGAACAACAUGCAUCCCCAGAUCAGCCCGAGGACAAGGCAUCACUCUUCGAGGAUGAGUAGAUGUGGGUUGAGAGGUUCAAGAAGCACAAGCCUCCUGUAUUCAGUGGUCUAGCAUCAGAUGAUGCUCUAGGAUUUCUAGAUGAGUGCUACCGUAUUCUCUGUACCAUGGGUAUAUUAGGAAUAAGCGGGAUUUCCUUCACCGCUUUCCAGCUUCGAGGAGCUACCUAUGAGUGGUGGCAUAUUUAUGAGUUAGACAGUCCCGAUAAGGAAGCUUCUCUGACUUGGACUCAGUUUUCAGAUGUGUUCCUAAGAGAGUAUGUUCCUCAUAGCCUCAGGGACGUAUCAUGUCCAAAGUUUGAGCAUAUACACCAGGGUGCUAUGAUUGUCUCGCAGUAUGCUAUUCAUUACAUCAGCUUGGCUAGACACGAACCAGCUUUGGUUUCUACUAUUCGCGGGAGGGUUCACCGAUUUAAUUGAGGGGUUUAUUCCCAACAUCAGGUCUAUCCUGACUCGUGAGUUCGAUCUGAAUAUUUCUUAUCAGUAGGUGGUAAGCAUUGCUUGGAGGAUCAAGCGUAUGCAUGCUAGGGAUAGAAAGGAGAGAGAGGCCGAGAAGUCUCAAGAGUACCAUUUUUCUGGUGCUCGUGCCCCAGCUGUAGGUUAUCAUGGUAGGUGUUACAUAAAUUACCCUUUUCAUUCAGCUCUCACAGCAGCCAUUGGUAUCCUAGCUUCUCCUAGGCCUUAGGAACCUUAUUAUGCACCUCUAGUAUCUAGUGUGCCUCCUGCACGGGGUGCUUUUAGUGGUCAGUCCAACAGAUCUAUCCCGAGCAAGUCAUAGGCGCCACGUCCUCCUAGAGAAUGUUUUGAAAAUGAUGGUACAUUUCAUAUGGUGCGAGAUUGCCCCAAACUUAGGAGGGGGAGAAACUCUAUUAACUUCUUAGCCACAGCGUGCCUCGCGCAGUUCUCAGGCUUUGGUUACAGCUCCAGUUGCUAACCCACCAGCUCAGCCAGCUAGAGGUGGAGGUCGAGGAGGUAGGAGUCGCCCUAGAAGGGGAGGCCAGGCGAGAUAUUAUGCCCUUCCUGGUCGUACCGAGGUUGUUGCCUCUGAUUCAAUAGUCACAAGUAUGGCCUUGGUUUGUCAUAGAGAUGGAUCAGUUCUAAUCGAUCCAGGCUCCACUUAUUGAUAUGUGUCUUCUUAUUUUGCUUCGCAAUUGGGUGUAUCUCAGGAUUCUUUGAGUUCCCUUGUUUAUGUUUAUACUCCUGUAGGAGAUUCUCUUGUUGUGGACCAGAGCCGAUUUAUUGUUGCUUAGCAUGGUAGAUUUUAAUAUUAUCUUGGGCAUGGACUGAUUCUCUCCCCAUUAUGAUAUUCUUGAUUUUAAUUCCAAUACCAUGAUGCUGGCUAUGCCAGGUGUACCACGUGUUAAGCGUAGGGGUGCUUUAGAUCACACUCCUAGUAGAGUUAUUUCUUUUCUUAAGGCUCAGCAAAUGGUUGAGAAGGGGUGUGACGCAUAUCUAGCUUAUGUGAGAGAUGUCAGUAUUGAUACCCUUACAGUUGAUUUAGUGCCAGUAGUACGGGAUUUUUCUGUGUGUUUCUAUCUGAUCUUCUGGGUGUGCCGCCUGAUAGAGAUAUUGAUUUUGGUAUUAACCUGUUGCUGGGUAGUCAGCCCAUUUCUAGUCCUCCAUAUCAUAUGGAUCCUUCUGACUUGAAUGAGUUAAAGGAUCAGUUACAGGAAUUGCUUGAUAAGGGUUUUAUUAGGCCUAGUGUAUCACUGUGGGGUGCUCUUGUCUUGUUUGUGAAGAAGAAGGAUGGUUCUAUGCAUAUGUGCAUUGAUUAUCGUUAGUUGAACAAAGUUACAAUGAACAAUCGUUAUCCUUUUCAUUGUAUUGAUGAUUUGUUUGAUCGGCUAUAGGGUGCACAAGUGGUUUCUAAGAUUUACUUGCGUGCAGGUUACCAUCAGUUAAAGAUUCGGGAGACUGAUAUCCUGAAGACUGCGUUCAGGACUCGUUAUGGUCAUUACAAGUUUCUUUUUAUGUCAUUUUAGUUUACCAAUGCCCUAGCAGCCUUUAUGUAUUUGAUGCACAGUGUGUUCCGACUAUAUCUUGACUCGUUCGUCAUUGUCUUUAUUGAUGAUAUUCUGGUGUAUUUCGGGAGUCGGGAAGAUCAUGAGCAGCACUUGAGGACAGUGAUCCAGACUUUGAGAGAGAAGAAAUUAUAUGCUAAGUUCUCAAAAUGUGAGUUUUGGUUGGAUUAUGUGGUAUUCUUGGUCACUUGGUUUCUAAUGAGGGGAUAAAAGUUGAUCCGAAUAAAUUGAAAGCAGUGCAGAGUUGUCCCAGACCAUCUACAGCUAUAGAGAUCUGCAAAUUUCUUGGCUUGGCGGGUUACUACCGUCGAUUUGUUGAGGGGUUUUCAUCUAUUACAGUGCCUAUGACCAGGCUGACCUAGAAGGGUGCUCUGUUCCAGUAUACGGAAGAGUGUGAGGCAAGCUUUCAAUAGCUCAAGACUGAUUUGACAACAACCUAGUUUUAAUAUUGCGUAGAGGUUCGGGGUCUUAUACUGUCUAUUGUGAUGCCUCGAGAAUUGGCCUUAGAGCGGUAUUGAUGCAAGAUGGUAGUGUGACUGCCUAUGCAUCCAACAAGUUAACAGUACAUGAGAUGAAUUAUCUUGUCCAUAAUCUCGAGUUAGCUGCUAUUUUUCACGCGUUGAAGAUCUAGCCCCAUUAUUUGUACGGUGUGCCUUGUGACAUUUAUACUGAUCACGGGAGUUUGCAGGAUUUGUUCAUGCAAAAUGACCUUAAUUUGCAUCAGCUAAUGUGGUUAGAGUUGUUGAAGGACUAUGAUAUCACUUUUUUAUCACCCGGUCAAGGCUAAUGUGGUGGCCGAUGCUUUGAGUCAUCGGGCAGAGAGUUUGGAAAGUUUGGCUUAUUUACCAACAGCGGAGAGGCCCAUGGUGAUGGAUGUUCAGGACUUAGCCAGCCAGUUUGUGAGAUAGGAUCUUUUGGAGCCCAGUCGGAUUCUAGCUUUCAUGGUUUCUCAAUCUUCAUUAUUUGAUCGUAUCAGGGAGCGUCAGUUUAAUGACUCUCAUUUGCUUGUCCUCCAGGACAAGUUUCAGCACAGUGAUGCCAAAGAUGUGACUAUUGGUGAUGAUGGGGUAUUGAGGAUGCUAGAUCGGAUUUGUGUAACAAAUGUCGAUGGGCUUUGGGAGUUGAUUAUAUAGGAGGCCCAUAGUUCACAGUAUUCCAUUCAUCUGGGUGCCGCGAAGAUGUACCAGAAUUUGAGGCAGCACUAUUGGUAGAGGCGAAUGAAGAAAGAUAUAGUUGGUUUUGUAGCUGGGUGCCUCAAUUGUCAGCAAGUGAAGUAAGAGCACCGGAGACCGUGCAAUAUACUUCAGCAGAUAGAGAUUCUAGAGUGGAAGUGGAAGUGGGAGCGGAUCACCAUAGACUUUGUAGUUGGGCUCCCACGAAAUUUGAGGAAGUUCAAUGCCAUUUGGGUAAUUGUGGAUCGGCCGACCAAGUCCGCGCAUUUUAUUCUUGUGUGUACUACCUAUUCUUCAGAGCGUCUAGCGGAGAUUUAUAUCUGGGAGAUUGUUCCUCUGCAUGGUAUUCCAGUUUCCAUCAUUUCAGAUAGAGAUACUCACAUCAAGGUUCUGGAGGGUCGUACAACAUGAGGUGGGUAUUUGAGUGGAGUUGAGUACAAUAUUUUACCCUCACAUAGAUGGGCAGUCGAGCGGACUAUUCAGAUUAUUGAGGAUGGCUCUGUGCAUGUGUGAUUGAGUUUGGAGUGUCUUAGGAUCAGUUCUUGCCCAAUUGCGGAGUUUUCCUACAACAAUAGCUAUCAGCCUAUCAUUCAGAUGGCACCGUAUAAGGUUUUAUAUUGUAAGCAGUGUAGAUCCCCGGUGGGUUGAUUUGAGCCGGAUGAGGCUAGAUUAUUGGGCACAAACUUGGUUUAGGAUGCAUUAGAGAGAAUAAGGUGAUUCAAGAUAGACUCCAUACAGCCAAGUCCAGACAGAAGAGUUACGCGGACCGGAAGGUUCGUGUUUCCAUAUGGUUGGGGAGCGGGUUCUGCUUCAGGUUUCUCCUAUGAAGGGCGUUAUGAGAUUUGGUAAGAAAGGGAACUUGAGUACGAGUUUUAAUGACCCUUUUGAGAUAUUGAGGUAUGUUGCGGAGGUUGCUUAUAAGUUUUCCUUACCUCCCAGAUUCGCAGGAUUCCAUCCGGUAUUUCAUGUCUCAAUCCUCCAAAAGUAUCAUGGUGAUCCGUCGCACGUUUUGGAUUUUAGUUUAGUCUAGUUGGACAAGUAUCUAUCUUAUGGUGAAGAGACAGUGGCCACGUUGUACAGGCAUGUUCUAAAGCUAAGGUCAAAGAACAUUGCAUCAGUGAAGGUUCAGUGGCGGGGUCAGCCGGUCAAGGAGGCAACCUGGGAGACCGAGAAGGAUAUGCGCAACCGUUACCCUUAUUAGGGAAACGAAUUUCUAACUGUAGGAGUACGUAACGACCCGUCCAGUCGUUUAAAGAAUUUAUGCCCCGAUCCUUAUUAGGGAAUUGGAGAUUCGUAGCUUAUUUAGGGUUGACAUGCCGAAAGUUGAAUUUUUGAAGUUUAUAAUUUGAAUGUGAGAUUUUAAUAUUAGUGUCGGAAUGGGAUUCUGGAAGUUGGGUUAGCUCUAAUGUUGAAUGUGACGUGCUUGCAAAAUUUUAGGUCAUUCGGACGAGGUUUGAUAGAUGUUUUGAUCGAAAGAGUAAAUUGAUUGUUCUUAGGCUUGAAUCAAAUGUUAAAUUGGUGUUUUGAUGUUUUUUUGAGCUUUCCAAAGAUUGUAACAAGUUUGAAUGAUAUUUUAUGAUUGGUUGACAUGUUUGGUUGAGGUCCCAUGUGCCUCAGGUGCUUUUCGGAUGCUCAACGUGUCAUUUUUGGACUUAGGUAUGCAGCAGAUUUGCUGGUUUUUCUGUUACAGACUUUUGGCCUUUGCAUUCGCGAAGGGUUGAUUACCUUCGUGAAGGCUGUCCAGGGGAAGUAUAGUGAAUGCAAGGAGCAGAGCGCAUGCACAAAAAGGAAAGACUGAGCAAUUAUGGACCCCAUGGAAUUUCUCUAUGCUUUCGCGAGCAUUGGGUCGCGUUCGCGAAGGUCCUGGAGCUAAAGCUACGCGUUCGCAGGUGGACCCUCGCGUUCGCGAAAGAGAAAGUUGGCCAGUAGGAGUUUUGUGCAUCGCGUUCGUGAUUGUAGUCUCCCGUUCGUGAAAAAGAACGUGUCUGGGUAGAACUUAAAUUUCAAAUCGAGGGUCUUGAGUUCAUAUCAUAAAAUUGAAUUGGGUGCUUUGUAGGAGGUGAAUUUUGGAGAGAUUUUUGGAGGGAGUUUGUGGGCAAUGAUUUGUAUCCCUUGUUUGCUUAUAAUCCUUUAAUCUAAAGAUGAAUUAAUCAUCUAAUUUUGGAUUUGGGUUGAGAAAUUGGGCGGGGNNNNNNNNNNNNNNNNNNNNNNNNNNNNNNNNNNNNNNNNNNNNNNNNNNNNNNNNNNNNNNNNNNNNNNNNNNNNNNNNNNNNNNNNNNNNNNNNNNNNNNNNNNNNNNNNNNNNNNNNNNNNNNNNNNNNNNNNNNNNNNNNNNNNNNNNNNNNNNNNNNNNNNNNNNNNNNNNNNNNNNNNNNNNNNNNNNNNNNNNNNNNNNNNNNNNNNNNNNNNNNNNNNNNNNNNNNNNNNNNNNNNNNNNNNNNNNNNNNNNNNNNNNNNNNNNNNNNNNNNNNNNNNNNNNNNNNNNNNNNNNNNNNNNNNNNNNNNNNNNNNNNNNNNNNNNNNNNNNNNNNNNNNNNNNNNNNNNNNNNNNNNNNNNNNNNNNNNNNNNNNNNNNNNNNNNNNNNNNNNNNNNNNNNNNNNNNNNNNNNNNNNNNNNNNNNNNNNNNNNNNNNNNNNNNNNNNNNNNNNNNNNNNNNNNNNNNNNNNNNNNNNNNNNNNNNNNNNNNNNNNNNNNNNNNNNNNNNNNNNNNNNNNNNNNNNNNNNGGGGGGGGAAUUUGAAAAAGUUCAUAGACAUAAAUUUCAAGUUUUGAUUAGGAAUUAGACAUUGGAUUUGGAUAAUUUUUGUAUGGAUAGACUCGUGAGAGUAUGAGGAUUCUGAAAAUGUAAAUUAUAACUGAUUCUGAUAUGUGGGACUGGGGGUAUUUUUGUAAUUUUAUCUGAUUUCCCGUAUCAACAUAGAAUUUAUUUGUAGAAUUAGUUACUUGAAGUUAUAUUUAUAUUAUGCAAUUGAAUUAAAUAGAUUCGGUCCAUUUGGAGUCGAGUACUCGUGGAAAGAACGUGGUUUUGUGUUAAUUUUGUAUCGGUUUGAGGUAAGUGGCUUGCCUAACCUUGUGUGGGGUAAUUCCACUUAGGAUUUGGUAUUAUUGAUAUUUGAAAUUCCUUGUAGGGUGAGGUGAUGAGUACGUACUUGUGCUAAUUGUUGAAAAUCCGAUUUUUAUUAAGCAAUUAUCAUCGUGUUUUCUUUCCUAUUUAUACUACUCGUGAUUCAAUACAAUUGUUAGUUUGGGAAAGCAUGUCUAAUUUACUUAAUUGCUUUUAUUGCUCAAACUACCUAAUUUGGAUUAUGUGCAUUAUGCUAGGCUAGAAAUACUAGUUUUACCUUGGCAUAGACUUUUAGUUGAAUUAUGUGUUCUUCGUGUUGUUGCUGUGUGCUUACUUUGGGACUACGGAUUUAGAUUGCGGGAGAUCCCCCUGCACCUUUACAUUGAAACUACGGGACUGCACCCACUAGAUUCUCCCAGUACUGAGUAUUCAUAUUUGGGACUACGGAUCAGAAUUCUGGUAGAUACCCGCGCAUUAGUUGGACAAUGGGACGGUAUCCCGUAAGGUCCACUAGAUAAUUCUAUUUCGGACUACAGGACAAUAUCCUGGGAGAUCCCUAGUUAUUAUCUCUGAGUGGAGUUGUACUCCUUUCCAUGGUUAUUUUAUCUCUGUUAUAGAUAUUGUUGUUCCUUCUAUUCUGUGUUAUUUAUUACGGUUACACUUAAUGACAUUGUCUCAUUCUAUACUGUUAUACCUUAUAUUUCAUUUAAUAUCAAUAGGGCUCUGAAUUUCCUCGGCCCUACUCGAUCGAGCUUAUGCUUGGCACUUACUGAGUACCAUUGUGGUGUACUCAUGCCCUUUCUUCGCAUGUUUUUCAUGUUCAGAUCUAGGUACUUCCACUCAGUCUUAUUGUCACACCUCCUUUUUCCUUCACCCCCGAAAGGUAUAAGGGACUUUUUAAUUAAAGGACAAUCAAAACAGUAUUAUUAUUUAUGAAUCAAAGCCACCACUUGGGAUAAUUUGAUGGUGUCCCAAAUCAUCGGUUCAAAUCCCGACUCGAGGAAAAGGUUGACUCUGUUUUACAGUCCACAAAUACAGAAAUCCUGGUAAGGAUUCUACUAACAUGGAAGAAGGUGUUAGGCGUUCCCAAGUUUUAUGGUUCUAGCAUGGUCGCUCAACUGUUAUUAUUAUCCUAAUUAUCUUAUUAUAAAAUACUUUAAAACCUAUGUGCAUUUUAGCUUUAAAUCGCUUUAAAUUUUUUUAAGUAAGAGUUUAACGUCGGCUAAAAUAUAUUUUUUGGACUGCGCCACAAGAAAUUCACCCGCAAUCCGAAACACAUUUUAUUCAACAUUGUAUAGACUUGAAUGUAGAACACAUGAAGUGCACACUCGAAUUUAUGAAGGUAAUUUUAAUAUUAUGCCCCUACAGCAACUAUGCGGUUUUUUUCUAAACUUUGUGAGGGACAUGGAAAAUUUUAUGAAUGGCGCGCCUCGAGUUCUAAGGAUUUAAAAGAAAUAAUUAAAUUAGGACCACGUAUUUGAUAUUUUAUUUGGCACGGCGCACCUUAAAUCCAAUUUUUAAAGGAAAUUCAAAAUCAAACUCUUAAGGCCAUAACUAUAUUUGCUAAGAUGGCACACCUUAACUAAUUCUCCAAAAUUCCUUAUUUUAAAACCAUGAGGGUCAUAGACUAUCUCUACUAAUAUGGCAUACCCUGAAACUAAUUUAAUUGUAGUACUUCUAGCCCCCUUUUUAACAUGUUAUCUAAGCAAGAAAACUUUGCGUAAAAGAAACUAAACAGAAAGAAACAGAUAUGUUAUUAACUGGCUCGUACAAUUGCAACCAUGCGGGAUAAGAUAGAAGAAGGCAGGCCCAAUGCAAUGGAGGCCUGCAAAUCGACUUCAUGUAGUAUCUUGACCCAAGGCCCAAAGAAGGGUCUAAAUUUAGCAGUAAAUCCUGAAGAAGAAAAAAGACUCGAGUUCGAGUCCCCAGGUCAUGUAAGGAGAAUACCAAAUUAGAAAUGUGAUCCUAGCAAGGCCUUUGAUAACUAACUAUCCUUUGACAAUUGCGCUUCAGUUAAUUCUACAUGGGCAAUUAUGUCAAAUUUCCAGUACAAUUUGAGCCUAUUUUCAUGCGUAAUGUCAAAUAAAAUCUUAUGGGUCUAUCUAAUAGAUACAAGUCCUAACAUUAAAUGAAAACUAACAUGUUUUUGCAACAUAAAUAAAUCAAUGCACAGCCUGCCUUUUAAGGUAACUUGGAUCAUUUUCCCUUUCUUCUAGCACGACUUAUAUUGGUUACUACUUAAAAAGAAUUCAGUCCCUCAUUACAUGAAUGUGGAAAAAUUGAUCUACAAGGGAAUAUGCUGUAACAAUCAGAUACACUGCUUAGCAAGAGGAUACAUACACAAUCACACCAUUUAGCAUGAUCUAACUACAUAUGCAACCAAAUAAGCUAUGUACCAAUUUUUUUCAGAAUACUUUCAAAUAUUCAAUCUCGAACUACAGGAUACUUUCUAGAAGACUGAUCUCCCAUCAGAUAAUAUGCACUACAUCUUUCAGGUGAUAUUGACAUAAUCCAACAGAAUAUAAUGCAUCAUGCAAAAUCAGCAAAUAAAAAAUAAAUAAAACUAAGCUACUGAACAGAGCAAAUUGAAGUUGUGUUUGAACUCCCAAUUUUAUUUCAUACUUCAAACAAUCUUCACAUGAUAUAGGAUUCAAGAGCAAGUACCUGAUUAUAGCAAAAUAAACCAGAGAAACCAAAGUUGGAGUCAGUAAACAGCAACAGAAAAAUCAGCCUCCAAGAAUGACUAACAACAGGGAAAUCCACUUCUUCCCGCCAAGGAAAAACCCAGAUGAACAACAUACAAUAGCAAUCUGACUAGCUAAGAAUUUUUUAAAACAAAAUUGGACCAGCCUUGUCCAAAAAUGCAAGAAAUGCAUUAUUCUCUCGGAAUUCCUUAGGCUCAGCCAUUUUCCUUCAAAAUUUUCAUAGUGUUUUUUUCUUCUCUCUCAAUGAAUGGAAAGAAAACUUAUAUAGGCAUGCCAAGGGCGGCCCUAAUACAUCUAGCCAAUUCCCCAUUUACCCUUCCCUUUACAAAAAUAUCUGACACUUUCAACUCUUAUCAUAUUCUUUAGAACCUUCUAUCCUAAAAGAAUUUGAUUCCCCCCCCCCCUAUUGCGCGCACGCGCGCGCGCACACACAAGCACACACACACACGGUGACCUUACACUAACUGGUUAUUACAAUCUUUGCCCCUCCCCCCUAAGACCCCUCUAAGUUUCUAUACUUAGCAUUAACCCUCAUAUGGAUCCCUGA